rnacentral:rRNA from 1 species
GGCAGCAGUGGGAAUCUUCGGCAAUGGGCGAAAGCCUGACCGAGCAACGCCGCGUGAAUGAUGAAGGCCUUCGGGUUGUAAAAUUCUGUUAUAAGGGAAGAACGACUUUAGUAGGAAAUGGCUAAAGUGUGACGGUACCUUAUGAGAAAGCCACGGCUAACUACGUGCCAGCAGCCGCGGUAAUACGUAGGUGGCAAGCGUUAUCCGGAAUUAUUGGGCGUAAAGAGCGCGCAGGUGGUUGAUUAAGUCUGAUGUGAAAGCCCACGGCUUAACCGUGGAGGGUCAUUGGAAACUGGUCGACUUGAGUGCAGAAGAGGGAAGUGGAAUUCCAUGUGUAGCGGUGAAAUGCGUAGAGAUAUGGAGGAACACCAGUGGCGAAGGCGGCUUCCUGGCCUGUAACUGACACUGAGGCGCGAAAGCGUGGGGAGCAAACAGGAUUAGAUACCCUGGUAGUCCACGCCGUAAACGAUGAGUGCUAAGUGU